AACGCGAAGAACCUUACCAAGGCUUGACAUAUAGCGAAAAGUGGCAGAGAUGUCAUGUCCGCAAGGGCGCUAUACAGGUGGUGCAUGGUUGUCGUCAGCUCGUGUCGUGAGAUGUUGGGUUAAGUCCCGCAACGAGCGCAACCCUCGUUCUGUGUUACCAGCGUUAAGUUGGGGACUCACAGGAGACUGCCGGGGUCAACUCGGAGGAAGGUGGGGAUGACGUCAAAUCAUCAUGCCCCUUAUGUCUUGGGCUGCACGCAUGCUACAAUGGCCGGUACAAAGUGCUGCGAAAUCGUAAGAUUUAGCGAAUCACAUAAAGCCGGUCUCAGUUCGGAUUGAGGUCUGCAACUCGACCUCAUGAAGUUGGAGUUGCUAGUAAUCGUAGAUCAGCAACGCUACGGUGAAUACGUUCCCGGGUCUUGUACACACCG
rnacentral:rRNA from 1 species